rnacentral:rRNA from 1 species
AGAGUUGUAUCCUGGCUCAGGAUGAACGCUGGCGGUAUGCCUAACACAUGCAAGUCGUACGAGAGUUUUUAACUCUAGUGGCGGACGGGUGAGUAACACGUGAGAAUUUGCCUUUAGGAGGGGGAUAACAAUUGGAAACGAAUGCUAAUACCCCAUAUGCUUUCGAGUGAAAUGGAUUUAUAUUUAUCCGCCUAGAGAGAAGCUCGCGGCUGAUUAGCUUGUUGGUAAGGUAAGAGCUUACCAAGGCGACGAUCAGUAUCUGGUUUGAGAGGACGAUCAGACACACUGGAACUGAGACACGGUCCAGACUCCUACGGGAGGCAGCAGUGGGGAAUUUUCCGCAAUGGGCGAAAGCCUGACGGAGCAAUACCGCGUGAGGGAAGACUGCCUAUGGGUUGUAAACCUCUUUUUUCAGGGAGGAAUCAAUGACGUGUACCUGAAGAAUAAGCAUCGGCUAACUCCGUGCCAGCAGCCGCGGUAAGACGGAGGAUGCAAGUGUUAUCCGGAAUCACUGGGCGUAAAGCGUCUGUAGGUGGUUUAAUAAGUCAACUGUUAAAUCUUGAGGCUCAACUUCAAAAUCGCAGUCGAAACUAUUAGACUAGAGUAUAGUAGAGGUAAAGGGAAUUUCCAGUGGAGCGGUGAAAUGCGUAGAUAUUGGAAAGAACACCGAUGGCGAAAGCACUUUACUG